rnacentral:lncRNA from 1 species
GAUGCCGAUCUCACCCUGACACAUGCACAUGCAUGCUAACACGUUGGUGGAAUCAGGGCUUAUGUAUUUUUGCCUCUGUCCCUAAAUCAAUUUUGAUUUCUGAAGAUUGUAUGUCUUGAUGUGUUUUUACUUGGCUUUUUUUCAUUCAUGAAAAGUGAAUAUUGUACUGAUGAAGACGCCACGAGGGGAAAAUUAUCUCCUUCAAAAAUGGCCCAUCGGUAAUUCUCUGUUUGCUUGUCAUGUACCUGAGGCAUUCUAAAAUAUGAGCAGAAACUUGAUACAGUCUUUAUACUUGCAGCAUAUCUUGACUCACUUGAAAUUAAGAUGUUAUUAUAAUUAUUCGGAGAGCGUGACAAGUGCUGCGCAUGAACAUCAAGAGGACCUAAAGACAAAUAACCCCCACCCCCAGGCCACAGCCACAUCAACAUCACAGCUGAGCAAAGAUCGCUUUCUCUCUCUCCCCAGCAUGGUUAUUAUAGGGCAGCGACUGGCGUAUUCCGAUCAUUUGCAUUAUCCAAAGCGAAUCUGCUUUGAAGUUCUGAGAUUCUGUAAGAAAAAGGAUCCACUCAUCCCACAUGAAAAAAAUGUUCAAAGCUCAUAAAUUCCCUGGAACAGAUGUACAUUAUCAUUGGAUUUGUCUCUUUUUUCCCCGUUCAUUGCUCCUGUACUGGUAAUAGACUGCCUCAUGUCCUUCUCAUCCCUUAGCAUUUAGCAUCCUGCCUUCACAGAAGCUGGCACCCUGCUGUGCCAAGCCACACUUCAAAGCUCUCUGCCUAUCUGCUGGAAACAAAGCACACAACACAUUAUGGCGGCCUCUCAUUUCCCCAUAUUUGAGUCAAUAUCACUGCUUUUUUUUGCCACUGCUUACACACAAAUAGGUUUUAUUUCCAUCCCAAAAGACUAUUUUCUGUAACCCAUGUCUCCUGUCAGCGCAAAUACAACACCAUACACAUGCACGGUGGAAGGAUAUUCCUUAUAGUCCCUGGUUUUUCCAUGACAGUCACUGAGCUGUUCG